rnacentral:misc_RNA from 1 species
GCAUUCUCUUCAGUUGUUUGCCAAGGCUUCUUUGUCUUGGUGGAUUGUGGGUUUUGCUGUGUUGYCUACCUAAACGAUGGUAUUGCUUGGUUGAUUGUAUUUUCCUUUCUUCUAGUGUCAUACCAAUGGCACUAGAUGAACCAUGAAGUGGUCUCUUUGAUCCACCUUAUCGAUGAUAGUGUUGAUUUUGUGGCUCAUUGAGCAUCGCUUGGUCUCCUGGAUACAGAACAUGAUUUGAGCAUGGGGUCUCAUGUGGUAUUUGUUUCGCUUUCAUUCAAUUUGUGCCUUCCCUUUAAAAAAAAAGACKCCUCGCCCGGAAUGUGCAAGUUCCCCCGGGGUGGUAAGUCAAAGGGAAUUCACUUCUUGUUUGUAGUGGGUAUGGUGCUUCAUGUGAUCCUUGUCUUGCUCUUGGUUAGCGUUCUCACCUCAUGGGUGCAAUGRGGGUCUCAUGUGGUAUUUGGUUUGCUUUCUUUCAGCUUGUGUGCUUCUCUUUAAAAAAUAAGACGCCUCGCCCGGAAUGUGCAAGUUCCCCCGGGGUGGUAAGUCAAAGGGAAAUGCACUUGCUGGUUGAUGUGGGCAUGAUGUCUCAUGUGAUCCUUGUUUUGCUCUUGUUUGGUGGUUACGCUUCUCUUCAAAUGACGGCCUUGCUCGCUAGGGCUUGUACCAGCGUGUUAGGCCAUGUCAAAGAGGAAUGC